AUGCGGUUUAUCUCAAGCUUAGUUUGGUAUUGAAAUCUAUCUGACGUUAUUAGAUAAAAUAAAAUUAUGAUAAAAAUAUAUAGGAAUAUAUUUCUGUGUUUUUCGAUAGGACCGUAAAAAAUAUAUUAUAACCGUCUGCGGAAAGUAAUAUUAUGUACAAAAAUAAACAAGAUAUUUUUUCAUCAUACUUUCUCGCCGCACGUAACGCAAUCUCCCCGCAAUCUCAAACGAAGCCCCACUCAAUUGCCACAAUGCUAGCCCAAACAAUUCCUCACUUAUCUUAAGCAGUACAAUUUAAUGAACGGUUGGUCGGGUUCAAGCAAAGUCUCGUUGCCCACGAACUUAUCGGGCCUGGUUAAGAACAGGCCUGUAAAACCUUAAUGGGCCGCCUCAUCUAGUAACAUAGCAGUAGUAUACUUGUAUUUGUUG
rnacentral:lncRNA from 1 species